rnacentral:rRNA from 1 species
CUUGCGCUUCUAUUUCGUUGGUUUCUAGGACGCGAGUAAUGAUUAAUAGGGAUAGUUGGGGGCAUUCAUAUUUAAUUGUCAGAGGUGAAAUUCUUAGAUUUAUGAAAGAUGAACUUCUGCGAAAGCAUUUGCCAAGGAUGUUUUCAUUAAUCAAGAACGAAAGUUAGGGGAUCGAAGACGAUCAGAUACCGUCGUAGUCUUAACCAUAAACUAUGCCGACUAGGGAUUGGCGGAUGUUCCAUUUACGACUCCUUCAGCACCUUUAGCGAAAGCAAAGUUUUUGGGUUCCGGGGGGAGUAUGGUCGCAAGGCUGAAACUUAAAGGAAUUGACGGAAGGGCACCACCAGGAGUGGAGCCUGCGGCUUAAUUUGACUCAACACGGGGAAACUC